AACGAACGCUGGCGGCAUGCCUAACACAUGCAAGUCGAACGAUGCCUUCGGGUCUAGUGGCGCACGGGUGCGUGACGCGUGGGAACCUGCGUUACGGUUCGGUAACACUCCCCCUAAUUGGUGCUAAUCCCGGAUAAUUUCUGCGGAUCAAAGAUUUUCCGCCUUUGGAUCGGGCCGCGUUUGGUUAGCUAGUUGGUAGGGUAAAAGCCUACCACGGCGACGAUCCAUAGCUGGUCGGAGUGGAUGAUCAGCCACACUGGGACUGGGACACGGCCCAGACUACUACGGGAGGCAGCAGGGGGGAAUAUUGGAAAAUGGGCGAGAGCCUGAUGCAGCCAUGCCGCGUGUGUGAGGCAGGCGUUAGGGUUGUAGAGCUCUUUUACCCGGGAGGAUAAUGACAGUACCGGGAUAAUAAGCUCCGGCUAACUCCGUG
rnacentral:rRNA from 1 species